rnacentral:rRNA from 1 species
GACGAACGCUGGCGGCGUGCUUAACACAUGCAAGUCGAACGGAAAGGCCCUGCUUUUGUGGGGUUCUCGAGUGGCGAACGGGUGAGUAACACGUGAGUAACCUGCCCUUGACUUUGUGAUAACUUCAGGAAACUGGGGCUAAUACCGGAUAGAAGCUCCUGCUGCAUGGUGGGGUUUGGAAAGUUUCGGCGGUUGGGUAUGUACUCGCGGCUUAUCAGCUUGUUUGGGAGGUAGUUGCUUACCAAGGCUUUGACGGGUAGCCGGCAUGGGAGGGUGACCGGCCACAUUGGGACUGAGAUACGGACCAGACUCCUACGGGAGGCAGCAGUGGGGAAUAUUGCACAAUGGGCGGAAGCCUGAUGCAGCAACGCCGCGUGCGGGAUGACGGCCUUCGGGUUGUAAACAGCUUUCGCAUGUGACGAAGCGUGAGUGACGGUAAUGGGUAAAGAAGCAACGGCUAACUACGUG